AAACAAAACAAAAAAAAGGAUAAAUGAGGUUAGAUUUGAAACACCAAACUCCAGGUGUCCAUACACAACAUAAUAUCCACUCAAGAUUAAAAUAGUGACAGGAAAGCCCCCAGGGUUGGAUUUCACUCCAUGAACUGAUUAUUUGUGUGUCUAUUUAUCCAUGGAGGAGGAGGAGGUCAGGAGAAAUGUCUGUGAGUCCUAACCUGGAUACCUAAUAAACCAGCACCAUACCCAGGGAUUUAAAUGCACUACGUUUGUAAAUAUCCACGUAGCAUCAGCAAAUGACCACUUGUGCCAAAACACAACAAUGGUCACAAUAGCCAGAUAAAUACCACUUUCGCUUGGAUUCUGACCGGCGGCCUCACUCUGGUUCUCAUUAGCAAGUCCCUUCCAACAGGUACAUCACCAAAGAUAAGCCAGUCUUAAAGGAUCAAACAUCGCUGUAAAUGUUUGUCUCGCUUUUUUCUCCGUAUAUUCAGUUCAGUGUUUUACUUGUGAGGGUUUAGCUGCAUGGUGCUAAUGUAGCUUUCAAAAAUGUUACACUAAAAAAAAAACAAAAAAAAAAAAAAACACUCGACAAUCCUGAGUGUGGUUACAUUUACAAGAUGUUUGGCCCUUAAUAAUUUCUCUAAGCUCUCACUGAACAUGAAGUGGAUGGAGCAAAGUUUAAAAAGAAACGAUAUAUAAUCAUACUAUUUGGAAUUUGGUGAAAUCAUUGCUCUCGUUUCCUGAGUUUUCUUUAGGAAAAUCCAUACUUUUGGUUGUUGUUGCUGCUAAUAAGUUACUACAUCUAAUCAACAAAUUCCUGGUGACUUUUUAAAAUAUAUAUAUAUAAAGAACAGUUACUAUAUCUGUGCUUUGAACAGACCUAGCGACCGGCAGUUGGAUGGAGUCUUUCUGAGUUUUCCCGGCCGCACCACAGCGGCUGCGAACCAGGGUCGCUGCGAUUCAUCAGAUGCCGCUCGCCGCAGCAUCUGAUGGUUGUUUGUGAGGAUUUAUUACCUGUUCAAAAUGGCUGGUUGUACGCGUACUGCUAAUACUCAGGAGAAGUGAUAAACUGAGACGUUGCCCGGUUACCGGAAUGGGACUCCUUCCAGCUUCGUUCUGCGUCUGCCCUGCCGGUGGGAAACUCAAACAGCAACAGUCUUAGACGCUGCGGACGUCUAAAUAUUCACUGCGGCUGCGAGAGAGACUUUUCUUUUAAGGUUUUAUUUGAAAGUAGUCUGACAGGAACCAGGGUAUGGAGAGACGGAAGACAUGCAGCGAAUGUUGCCAGGCUGGGGAUCGAACCUGCGACCACCGAUCCUACGACCACCGCCACAAGAACUAAGGCCUCCAUUCGUGGGUCGUGCUUUGCCACUGCGCCCCAGAGAGUGGGACUUUUUAAGCGAGUAACAAGAAGUCAGAAUUUGCUCAGUUUUAUCUUUCUGAGCUUUCAAGCUUUCUCUGUUACGGACUCAGUAAGGCUAGCUUUGCUAACUGUGCUAAUCGCUAGCGAGACGCCAAGCUAGUUUCACAUGUCAACUCUUGGAUCUAUUUUUUUCCUUGUACUGAAACAUUAUUAAAAACCUGUUUUGGGGGGUGUAACAUCA